CAUAUCAAUAAGCGGAGGAAAAGAAACCAACCAGGGAUUGCCCUAGUAACGGCGAGUGAAGCGGCAACAGCUCAAAUUUGAAAUCUGGCCCUCGGGUCCGAGUUGUAAUUUGUAGAGGAUGCUUUUGGUGCGGUGCCUUCCGAGUUCCCUGGAACGGGACGCCAUAGAGGGUGAGAGCCCCGUCUGGUCGGACACCAAGCCUCUGUAAAGCUCCUUCGACGAGUCGAGUAGUUUGGGAAUGCUGCUCUAAAUGGGAGGUAUAUGUCUUCUAAAGCUAAAUACCGGCCAGAGACCGAUAGCGCACAAGUAGAGUGAUCGAAAGAUGAAAAGCACUUUGAAAAGAGAGUUAAACAGUACGUGAAAUUGUUGAAAGGGAAGCGCUUAUGACCAGACUUGGGCCUGUCGGAUCAACCUGGGUUCUCCCGGGUGCACUCCUUCAGAUUCAGGCCAGCAUCAGUUCGGCGCGGGGGACAAAGGCUUCGGGAAUGUGGCUCCCCUCGGGGAGUGUUAUAGCCCGUUGCGUAAUACCCUG
rnacentral:rRNA from 1 species